GCCUGGAAAGCAGUUCAAAUUUUUGUGUAAUUUUUGCUUCGAUAUUUACUCAUUGAAGGGUGGAAAUCAUUUGAAAAAUUAAUGUUUUCUACUCUUGAUGCUUACCAUUGGUGACUUAUAUUUACGUUGAAUUACUUGUCUAGUUUUUGGAUCUGGAAAAGAAAGACGAAGAAGCCUCUUAGUGAUUUUAUUAAUCACGGUAGAAUUGAAAAAAAAAUAUUUUUAAUUUAUCAAUAAAAUUAUUAUCACCGUCGACAUACUUAAAAUGAUUAGUCAUGGUGUCGAAACAAAAUACACUUUUUGUUAUUAAUAUAAUUGAAUAAAAAUGAGAAAGCAAACACACGAAAAAACAAGCGGAAAAAAGUAUGUUAAUAAACACGAAUUAUACUCACUGAAUUCUUCCAAAACGAAGAUCCCACCAUUCUGAGUAAAGCACUUGCUGAUAUGAUCUAGUCUUACAAAGAACUGCAAAUAACCCAAUCGUGUCCCAUUAGUUGCGAAAAACAAAGAAAUUAAUCAAGUGCUUAAAGUGUAUUCAUGCCCUAAAUUUUGUUUCGGGAAUAUCAUUGAUAUAUGAUAUUGGCUAUCAACAAUGUGUAUUGCAAGGAUUCAAUUCGGUGUUUGAAGCUCAGUUACAAUGUUGAUGUUUUUUCAAACGAAUUAAACUUCAGAACCAUCCAAACGGAGUGUGGAGAAAAUUGUGAAAUGAAACGUCUUCAGUGAUUGUUCUAUGCAACAAAGCAUUGACGAAUUACAAGUCUUCGAAGUUCAACCAAUUGAUAGUCCGCUUUGGCUCGGUGGGCGGAGCGAAUGCGCACGGCUCUGAUCAGACUUCCGAAUGGUUCAACUUCGGAGGUUAUAAUAACUGAUGAAUAUUUUGUGGUAGAGAAAAGCGAUCAAGAACUUUCGUCUCAAUAUUUCAAGCUGAAUCCAAUUGCGCACUUCAGACCUUCGAUUCCAUGUUUCUCAGAGUACGUUUUUUUUAAGCGGAGAGAUAUCUACAGCUUCGGGAAAGCUUUUUCGUGCAGUGGUGCCAACUAGUUGUCAUUAUUAAACGAUCGAUCGAAAAGUCCACGCACGAAGACUGUAAAACGUAAAACAGUAACUUGAAUACUGCUCGUUCAGUUUUAACGCAAAUGAACAUCGAGCUGAUGGAACGACGAGUUACCGAUUCAAAUACAAACAAAAUAAACCGAUAGAAUUUAUCAUUUCGAAGGUAAAUGCCUCGAAGUAUUUUUGUCCGUUCGACAUAUUGAAAAAACAAACAAACUUCACACACCAGAGACACAGCAACUUUUUGAUCGAAAUCACCCGAAUCACGUUAAAGAUAAAACCAUGCAACAAAGGAAUCAAGCGGGUAAGGUUUGCAAAUAUUGAUAAUAUGCAUAUAAAUAUACAUAACCGUGAUGUAUGGCGAUGUAUAUUUAUAUACAUGCAUAAACAGCGGAAAUGGCAUUCGAUAAAGCCGUGCAAGCGUUUAUCUAAGCAGCGGCAGGCAACUCUGGAGAUGGCCUAAACGCAUCUUACAUCGUUGAUUGCUUCAGCGUUCAUACUUGAUGCUAAAUGUGCAUUGUUGUAUCUAUGUAUAAUUCAGCAGUGGACAGGGGUUUUCCGCUACUAAUUAAUGGAUGCGGCAUAUUAUGUAUACGUUUGCAAUUUAUUAUUAUUAUUAUUGCAGAGUAAUAAUAUUUCGCAUAAUAUGAGAUAAAUAUGCUUUUAAUUUAUACGUUGAAGGGUGCUAAUUAUCCUGCGUGGCUUGUGUACGUGCAAUUGUUUGAUUUUUGUUCAAUUUUUUUCUUUUUCAUCUACGAUUCGGUAAUUGGUGUUCAAUAGUGAUGUGUUCCAUUGCCAAGAGAUAUUAUUGCUGGUCGUUGGGUAAAACUGUGAAAUGAACUAAUCGUGUGGUGAUCCGGUGAGCGAUGAUUGAUUAACUAUUACAACCUCGUCUAUUUGUGAGUGCAACCGGACGAUCUAACGUUUUCGGUGUAUCGUGUUGAAAAAGUGCAUUUCUAAAUAUACUGAAUGAAAAUCGAAUCGCCAUCGUUUUUCCUUCAAGUGAGCAAGAACAAAUAGUUCAAAGUCGAAAAAGAAUUCCUAUCGGUUCCCGGUUGACGACUUGAGUGUAAUAUUAUUUCAUGUUUUUCUUUCGAAUUGUUGUAUCGAGAAUUCGUUAUCUCUUCUGGGAAAGGAUGGAAAGAAUUUUUCUUGAAAUUCGAGUCGGUAAGAGCUCGUUAAGAAUUCAUCGAUUAAUAAAUGGAAAAAUUGAAUCUAUUUUAUGGUGUUUUACUUUAAAAAAUGAAGUCAGACGUCAGCCAUUUUAUGACGAUGAAAUGCACUUUUUCGUACUUAUUAUAAGGCUAAAGAAGAUUCUUCAUAACUAGCGUUUAUCCGUGCGGUAUUUCGGAAUCGCUUCAUAAAGCUUCUGCAACACUUGUCCAAAUUUUUCAAGUACGUCAACUCGGCCUAAUUACGUUAUUUUUUUUUCUCUAAAAAGCUCGUUUACGUGAUUCGUCUAUGGGACAUUUCAUGAAACAUCUAUCACAACUAACACCGAUCAGUGGUAGGUAAAACAGUGAGCCAGGGCAAUGUCGACGAGGACAGGACAAGUAACAGAAAACAGAAAGAGAGAGAAAUUAAAGAUUUCGUUUCGAUCAUAGUCAAUAUAUAUAUCCAUAUAUAUACAAUAUACAAAUAUAUAUAUAUAUUCAUAAUGGAAUAAAUGUAUAAAUAUAUAUUCAUAUAAUUAAAUAAAUAUAUAUAUAUAUAUAUCAAUAUGUAUAUUGAUGCACCCAGUAGUUGUCACUUAUUGUUGGUGAUGGCCGCAAUUGUUCAGCCGCACUUUGGGUCGAGUUGAUUAUUUGGGAUAAAACUGCCUACGCAUAUAAUAUUUUUUGUUCCAUUGUUCAAGGACCAUCUCAAAAGUUCCCCGAAGCAAAGAAAAAUCUAUUUUUCGUUACUACCGACUGAAUAACUUGACUGAUAAAGUCAAGGUUUUUUUCUUUUUAUUCUACUUCGUAGACAACGUAAAUUUCGUUUACCUUUUCGUAAAUUUGUCAAAAGUGAAUUUAGAAAGAAGCCAAUAGUUGACAGAAAUUUUGGAAUAUUUUUAUUUGGAACGAACGUCAAAUAGACUCCUCUUAGCACAUUACCAUGGCAGAUAGGAGAAAAAGGAGAGAAAAAGAUAUACACGAUAGUCAGAGAAAGUCAGAACUUUAGAAAAUAAGAGAAAGAUUUAAUUUCAAUGUUUACAUAUAUAUAUGUUUUUAUUUUUUUUUUUCUGAAAAAAAAUAUAUAUAUAUAUAUAUAUAUGCAUAGAUAAUGGGCAUCCAACAUUCAGUAGAAAUAAUGAAACUACAGAUGUGUCGUAUGUUCUUGUCAUAUAAUAUAUGUAUAUCGUUGAAGAAAGUGUAAAAUAAAAUAAAUUAAAUAUACAAGAG